rnacentral:piRNA from 1 species
UCCUAUGUCUGCCUCGUUCCUGCAACUCGGG